AUGAACGCUGGCGGCGUGCCUAAUACAUGCAAGUCGAGCGAACAGACGAGGAGCUUGCUCCUUCGGCGUUAGCGGCGGACGGGUGAGUAACACGUAGGUAACCUACCUAUAAGACUGGGAUAACUUCGGGAAACCGGAGCUAAUACCGGAUAAUAUUUCGAACCGCAUGGUUCGAUAGUGAAAGAUGGCUUUGCUAUCACUUAUAGAUGGACCUGCGCCGUAUUAGCUAGUUGGUAAGGUAACGGCUUACCAAGGCAACGAUACGUAGCCGACCUGAGAGGGUGAUCGGCCACACUGGAACUGAGACACGGUCCAGACUCCUACGGGAGGCAGCAGUAGGGAAUCUUCCGCAAUGGGCGAAAGCCUGACGGAGCAACGCCGCGUGAGUGAUGAAGGUCUUCGGAUCGUAAAACUCUGUUAUUAGGGAAGAACAAACGUGUAAGUAACUGUGCACGUCUUGACGGUACCUAAUCAGAAAGCCACGGCUAACUACGUG
rnacentral:rRNA from 1 species